rnacentral:lncRNA from 1 species
CCUAUGGACAUAAGGAGUGACUCUACCAUUUUCUCUCAGGUACCUCUUGCUUAAUUGGAUUGGCUUCAGGAAAGGGAGAGAGCCCAAGCAGCCUUGGCAUGUCCCAGGCUGAGGCUGGAGGCUGUGGUCAGUCUGUCCAGCCUCCUGCCUCUGUUGUCUCACCUUUGUAUCCUCCUUUCCAUGUGUCAGCUCCUAAUGUGGGACACUGCUGUUGAGCUCUGGUUUUAUGCCUAGGUGCAACCAGACGAUCCAGUCAGCUUCCAUCACCUUUCCCAUGCACACACCUGGUCUUCUCCACACACUGAUGGCUCCCAGCACCACAGCCUUUCAACAAUCCUCCCAUCUCGAGUACCUUUGUGUAGAUGUAUGAAAAUGUG